rnacentral:rRNA from 1 species
UGAUGACGAGACGCUAAGGCGUUGAAGCAGUGUAUGUCAGACUUCCAAGAAAAGCUCGCAAUGUCACAAAUAAAAAUGCCUGUACCAUAACCGACACAGGUGGGUAGGUAGAGUAUACUAAGGGGCGCGAGAUAACUCUCUCUAAGGAACUCGGCAAAUGACUCCGUAACUUCGGGAGAAGGAGUGCCUUAUUUAUAAGGUUGCAAUAACAAGAUCCAAGCAACUGUUUAUCAAAAACACAGGUCUCUGCUAAGUCGUAAGACGAUGUAUGGGGGCUGACGCCUGCCCAGUGCCAGAAGGUUAAAGAAGUUGGUUAGUGUAUGCGAAGCUGAUGGCUGAAGCCCUGGUGAACGGCGGCCGUAACUAUAACGGUCCUAAGGUAGCGAAAUUCCUUGUCGGGUAAGUUCCGACCCGCACGAAAGGCGUAAUGAUUUGGAUACUGUCUCGGAGAGAGGCUCGGUGAAAUAGACUUGUCUGUGAAGAUGCGGACUACCUGCACCAGGACAGAAAGACCCUAUGAAGCUUUACUGUAACUUGAAAUUGGAAUUGGACUUUGCUUGCGCAGUAUAGGUGGGAAGCGUUGAAAAUAUUCUUGCGGGAGUAUUGGAGCUAUCAGUGAGAUACCACUCUUGUAAUGUUAGAUUUCUAACUUUGAACCAUAAUCUGGUCAAAGAACAGUUUCAGGUGGGCAGUUUGACUGGGGCGGUCGCCUCCCAAAUGGUAACGGAGGCGUACAAAGGUUUCCUCUGAACGGAUAGAAAUCGUAUCUAGAGUGUAAAGGCAUAAGGAAGCUUGACUGUGAGACCUACAAGUCGAGCAGGGACGAAAGUCGGUCUUAGUGAUCUGACGGUACUGAGUGGAAAGGCCGUCACUCAACGGAUAAAAGUUACUCUAAGGAUAACAGGCUGAUCUCCCCCAAGAGUUCACAUCGACGGGGAGGUUUGGCACCUCGAUGUCGGCUCAUCGCAUCCUGGGGCGGUAGUACGUCCCAAGGGUUGGGCUGUUCGCCCAUGAAAGCGGUACGCGAGCUGGGUUCAGAACGUCGUGAGACAGUUCGGUCCAUAUCCGGUGUAGGCGCUAGAAUAUUGAGAGGAGCCUUCUUUAGUACGAGAGGACCGAGAAGGACACACCGCUGGUGUACCAGUUAUCGUGCCAACGGUAAACGCUGGGUAGCUAUGUGUGGAGUGGAUAACCGCUGAAAGCAUCUAAGUGGGAAGCCCACCUCGAGAUGAG